GACGGAGGAUGCAAGCGUUAUCCGGAAUGAUUGGGCGUAAAGCGUCCGCAGGUGGCAGUUCAAGUCUGCUGUCAAAGACCGGGGCUUAACUUCGGAAAGGCAGUGGAAACUGAACAGCUAGAGUAUGGUAGGGGCAGAGGGAAUUCCUGGUGUAGCGGUGAAAUGCGUAGAGAUCAGGAAGAACACCAGUGGCGAAGGCGGCUCACUGGCCCAUAACUGACGCUGAGGCACGAAAGCGUGGGGAGCAAACAGG
rnacentral:rRNA from 1 species